CAAUAAUCAAAAUCCCAAACGCAGAACAUCUAAGAGUUUCUGGGCUUUUGAUAUCUUGGAUAAAGGGUCUGAGGUUCAACUAUUUGGGUUUUGAAGGUGGAAUGGGAGACAUGAUUUACAGAUAGCUUUUUUCAGUGCCAGAGAGGGUGAUGGUCUCCAUUCGUCUGUUUCCUUUUGAGUGUCAGCCCAAUCAAGAAUGGGAUUGGCUGUCAUGGCUGUCAGACUGAAGAAUGAGGGGAGAUUGGGAUGAAAGUUCACUUCAGACAUGAGACUGAUGGACUGACUGACUAAAUGAGUGAAAGCCAGUGUGAAAGGGCGCAUUAUCCUGCUGAAAGAGGCCACUGCCAUCAGGGAAUUCCAUUGCCAUGAAGGGGUGUACCUGGUCUGUAACAAUGUUUAGGUAGGUGGCACAUGUCAAAUUGACGUUCCCCAGCAAAACAUUGCCCAGAGAAUUACACUCCGUCCACUGGCUUGUCAUCUUCCCACAGUGCAUCCUGGUGCCAUCACUUCCCCAGGUAAACGUGCACACGUACACGGCCAUCCACAUGAUGUAAAAGAAAAUGGGACUCAGUGGACCAGGUGACCUUUUUCCACUGCUCCAAGGUCCAGUUCAGACGCUUGCAUGCUCAUUGUAAUCGCUUUCGACGGUGGAAAAGAGUCAUCAUUGGCACUCUGACCGAUCAGCUGCUACGCAGCCCCAUAUGCAGCAGGGUGCGAUGCAUUGUGUGUUUUUACACAUUCCUUCCAUAACCAUCAUUAAAAUUGUGUAACAAUUUGGCCCUUGUCAAAGUUGCUCAGGUCUUUUCUUGCACCCAUUUCUCCUGCAUUCAACAUGUUGACUAUGAGAACUGAUUGUUCACUUAGCAUCUAAUCUACCCAGACCUAUUUAUAUACAUGUACUGUAUAUAUAAGACUGUGGCAGGGCUGGAUUGGUAAUCUGGAAUACCAGGCAUUCUCCCGGAGUGCCGACGCACUUUGUGGCCAAUCAGGGGUGGACUGGCCAUCGGGAGAACCGGGCCAGCUGCGAAACGGGCCGAAUGGGCCGCGAUAAGCUGAAAUGAGCCCCUGCGUUAUGCAGAACGGGCCACAAAUGUCACCACGAUAUGCAGAAAAGGACAGCAACACACCCACCCACACACCCAGUCCACCCCUGGACUGUGGAGAGAUGGGCGUGGCCGAGCAACAUCUGUGGAGAGCGAGGCCGGGAGAUAGGGAACAUAAGGAUUGACACCUGGGGAAAUUAUCUCUGACAGCUGUUUUGUAUUAACAGUGAAAGCUGGAGGGAGAUCAGCAGAGCCGCAGUGAAGACAGAGACUGGAAGCUGAAAACGUUGUGGAUGGCAGCGUUUCUUUACGUUUAUUUGAAACCUUAUAAUAAGGACUUUAUGUUGAGUUUUGUGAGAAAAGCAGCUAAAUAAAUCACCCCAAAGUGUGUAAGCUGGUUCCUGCUUCCUGACUUGCCCUUUUAAAUGACUGAGAGUGUCACAGAGACCUAUUAAGAUAGAUGGUUUAUUUGAGAGAUAGGGGAACCUUUUAUCUUUUGAGCAGCAUAUUAAAAAUGUAUUAUUGAGGUUCUUUGCAUUUCUUUACAUACUUUACCUGUAUGCAGUGUGUGAUGCUGAGAACCUCGGGGAAAAAAUACUGUUUGCAGAAGUGUUCUUAAGGUGAUUUUCACAUUUUAAAGAUGCAGUUAUUAUGUGACGAGUCUUUUCACCUGAAAAAAAAAAUAUAUAUACUGGUCAAAAUUAUGUUUUACACUAUCAAACAAAGUGACAUUGC